UCCGAGUUGUCCCCGGCAGUCUCCCACGAGUCCCCGGCAUUACCCGCUGGCAACAUGGGACAAGGGUUGCGCUCGUUGCGGGACUUAACCCAACAUCUCACGACACGAGCUGACGACAGCCAUGCACCACCUGUACCGGACCCAAAAAGGACCCCACAUCUCUGCAGGAUUUCCCGGCAUGUCAAACCCAGGUAAGGUGGGGAUGACGUUGGAGGAAUUCCA
rnacentral:misc_RNA from 1 species